rnacentral:tRNA from 1 species
UCCCUGAUGGUCUAGUGGACAGGAUUUGCCGCUCUCACCGCCGCUUCCGGUGUUCGAUUCCCGGUCAGGGAA